GAUGAACGCUGGCGGCGUGCCUAAUACAUGCAAGUCGAGCGAACAGACGAGGAGCUUGCUCCUCUGACGUUAGCGGCGGACGGGUGAGUAACACGUGGAUAACCUACCUAUAAGACUGGGAUAACUUCGGGAAACCGGAGCUAAUACCGGAUAACAUGUUGAACCGCAUGGUUCAACAGUGAAAGACGGUCUUGCUGUCACUUAUAGAUGGAUCCGCGCCGCAUUAGCUAGUUGGUAAGGUAACGGCUUACCAAGGCAACGAUGCGUAGCCGACCUGAGAGGGUGAUCGGCCACACUGGAACUGAGACACGGUCCAGACUCCUACGGGAGGCAGCAGUAGGGAAUCUUCCGCAAUGGGCGAAAGCCUGACGGAGCAACGCCGCGUGAGUGAAGAAGGUCUUCGGAUCGUAAAACUCUGUUAUUAGGGAAGAAGAAAUGUGUAAGUAACUAUGCACGUCUUGACGGUACCUAAUCAGAAAGCCACGGCUAACUACGUG
rnacentral:rRNA from 1 species